rnacentral:rRNA from 1 species
AGCGAACGCUGGCGGCAGGCUUAACACAUGCAAGUCGAGCGGGCACUUUCGGGUGUCAGCGGCGGACGGGUGAGUAACGCGUGGGAACGUGCCCUCUGGUUCGGAAUAACUCAGGGAAACUUGAGCUAAUACCGGAUACGCCCUUUUGGGGAAAGGCUUGCUGCCGGAGGAUCGGCCCGCGUCUGAUUAGCUAGUUGGUGAGGUAACGGCUCACCAAGGCGACGAUCAGUAGCUGGUCUGAGAGGAUGAUCAGCCACACUGGGACUGAGACACGGCCCAGACUCCUACGGGAGGCAGCAGUGGGGAAUAUUGGACAAUGGGCGCAAGCCUGAUCCAGCCAUGCCGCGUGAGUGAUGAAGGCCUUAGGGUUGUAAAGCUCUUUUAUCCGGGACGAUAAUGACGGUACCGGAGGAAUAAGCCCCGGCUAACUUCGCG